UCCCCUGAGGGGGCCUGCGGAAGGAUCAUUAUUG
rnacentral:rRNA from 1 species